AUUGAACGCUGGCGGCAGGCCUAACACAUGCAAGUCGAGCGAGCGGCGGACGGGUGAGUAAUGUCUGGGAACCUGCCUGUUGGAGGGGGAUAACUACUGGAAACGGUAUCUAAUACCGCAUACCAUCAGAUGUGCCCACAUGGGAUUUGCUAGUAGGUGGGGUAACGGCUCCCCAAGGCGACGAUCCCUAGCUUGUCUGAGCGGAUGACCAGCCACACUGGAACGGAGACACGGUCCAGACUCCUACUGGAGGCAGCAGUGGUGAAUAUUGCACAAUGGGCGCAAGCCUGAUGCAGCCAUGCCGCGUGUGUGAAGAAGGCCUUCGGGUUGUAAAGCACUUUCAGCGGGGAGGCGUUACCCGCAGAAGAAGCACCGGCUAACUCCGUGCCAGCAGCCGCGGUAAUAC
rnacentral:rRNA from 1 species